CAGUGAGUCUCUGGUGGCUACUGUCACAGUACCUGGGUCCCCUUUAGAGUUACACCCUAUCUUAUUUAACAAAUGCUCUAAGACCAAACCACUCCAAAUUCCAGCCAAAGCAACAUCACAACUGUCAUUGGCCCAGCCCUUGACCUCCACUGUGGCCCAGGUACAACCCAGACCCUUGAUUCCAACCAUGGCCCAGUUUCAACCACCACCUCAGGGUCACAUGGAGACCCAGGCCCAACACUUACCCUUGACUUCAAUCCUGCCCCAAUAUCAGCCACAACCUUGGGUUUACUUGGAGACUCAGACCCAACCCCUACCCUUGACUCCAACUAUGCCCUAUUGUCAAGCACAAACUCGGGCUCACAUUCAGACCCAGGCCCAACCCCGACCCUUGUCUACAACCAUACCCCAAUGUCAACCAUCAUCUCGGGCUUACAUGAAGACCGAGGUCCAACCCCUACACUUGACUCCAACUAUGCCCCAUUGUCAAGCACAAACUCGGGCUCACAUUCAGACCCAGGCCCAACCCCGACCCUUGUCUACAACCAUACCCCAAUGUCAACCAUCAUCUCGGGCUCGCGUGGAGACUCAGACCCGACCCCUACCCUUGACUCCAACUAUGCCCCAUUGUCAAGCACAAACUCGGGCUCACAUUAAGACCCAGGCCCAACCCCAACCCUUGUCUACAACCAUACCCCAAUGUCAACCAUCACCUCGGGCUCACAUGGAGACCCAGGUUCAACCCCUACCCUUGACUCCAAUCAUGCCCCAAUGUCAACCGUCACCUAGGUUUCAGUUAGAGACUGCUGCUCAUAUCUCACCAUCUCUUCCAAUCCAACCAUCUUCUUCUAAACCACAGAUUAGGUACAGUGAAGUAUCUCAUGCAACAGUCCAAAGUAAGGGACAAACUUCUGUCCCAAAUGCAAUUCAAAACCUGGAACAUCACUUUUUGAUAAAGCAAUUAGAAAGUAGGAAAAUUAUACCCUCUUUGGUUAAAAGAUAUCAGCAUGUCUUUAGUCAAGUCACCCACAACCAUUCCCAGGAGAGCAGGCCUUCCCAGGCCCACAUCUCUGUCGCCACCCCUUUUGGGGAUUUGAUCAGGCCUGAGGUUUGGGAGAAACUGGAGC
rnacentral:lncRNA from 1 species